rnacentral:lncRNA from 12 species
GGAAGAAAGAGGGGAAAGGAGAAAAGAGGCUGUUACCUGCCAACUGUGAAAGCUCAUGUUUGGGGCUGGGACAGGGGACUGGCAGCAGCAAGGAGGCUUAUGGCAUAGCAGCACUGAUGUGAUUGUGUACAUCUCCGAGAAAGGCCUCAUUCAUGUCACAGUAAUGGCUGAGUUUGCUCACACCACUGAAAUACCUUUAGCCAGCUUUUGCCCAACC